rnacentral:lncRNA from 1 species
UCCUGAAGACUCAUAUGAGGGAAGCAGAACAGUCUAGAAUGCAGCUGAGUGUCCCCCUGGAUCAGGGCUCUGCCUGUUUGCAGUUGUAUCACACACCCACACACUUGUUCAUCAAGUGUGGAGCAGAAUCACUGGCAACCAUAUGAAUUGGCCAUUUUCUGCUGCCAUUCGACUAUGAUCUGCCCCAGCACUGCAGAUUAGAUCACUAAUAGAUCUUACCUGAGAUGGAUGCCCAACACUCCAAGUAUAACUCGAUAAAACCAGACUGCCUUAAAGGGGUUUGAUGAGCAGAAGGAGGACUUCAUAUACAUAACU